GACGAACGCUGGCGGCGUGCCUAAUACAUGCAAGUCGAGCGAAUGGAAGGGAGCUUGCUCCCUGAAGUUAGCGGCGGACGGGUGAGUAACACGUGGGCAACCUGCCUGUAAGACUGGGAUAACUUCGGGAAACCGGAGCUAAUACCGGAUACGUUCUUUCCUCGCAUGAGGAAAGAUGGAAAGAUGGUUUCGGCUAUCACUUACAGAUGGGCCCGCGGCGCAUUAGCUGGUUGGUGGGGUAACGGCCCACCAAGGCGACGAUGCGUAGCCGACCUGAGAGGGGGAGCGGCCACACUGGGACUGAGACACGGCCCAGACUCCUACGGGAGGCAGCAGUAGGGAAUCUUCCGCAAUGGACGAAAGUCUGACGGAGCAACGCCGCGUGAGCGAAGAAGGCCUUCGGGUCGUAAAGCUCUGUUGUCAGGGAAGAACAAGUGCCAGAGUAACUGCUGGCACCUUGACGGUACCUGACCAGAAAGCCACGGCUAACUACGUGCCAGCCGCCGCGGUAA
rnacentral:rRNA from 1 species